rnacentral:lncRNA from 1 species
CCAGANAAGACUAAUAAUCAAAAAAGAUCUGAUAGCAACAUUGUCUUAAUGAGUACAUCAAAAUACAACUGACAUUACAAUUAAAAGAUGUAACCAAUAUAAGGUCAAAGUUCAAAGUUUCAAAAUAAAGUGAAAUAUGACUUCAUUCAGCAGCAGCAGGCACGUGUGUUGUUUGACCAGUAGGUUGCUCAGUAGGAGGUACUGUCACUUGUGGUGUUUGAUCAGUAAGUUGCUCACUAGGUUGCUGAGUAGCUUGCUCAGUAGCUUGCUCAGUAGCUUCUGCAGCAGGAGGUUGGUCAGCUGGAAUAUUUGUUGUAGUUGGUCGUUGUGGACAACAUCUUUUGUUGUGACCAAGUUGUUUGCAAAUAGCACAUGAUUUUUUGCUCCCACCCUUUCUUAGUUCAGUAUCAUUCUUCUUCAACUCCCAACUCUCUAGCCUUCGUUUUUUCUUGGGCCUACCAGGCAUUGGC